rnacentral:rRNA from 1 species
AGAGUUUGAUCCUGGCUCAGAACGAACGCUGGCGGCAGGCUUAACACAUGCAAGUCGAACGAGAAGCCGGACUUCGGUCUGGUGGAGAGUGGCGCACGGGUGAGUAACGCGUGGGGAUUUACCCAGCAGUACGGGAUAACAUCGGGAAACCGGUGCUAAUACCGCAUACGCCCUUCGGGGGAAAGAUUUAUCGCUGUUGGAUGAACCCGCGUAAGAUUAGAUAGUUGGUGGGGUAAUGGCCUACCAAGUCGACGAUCUUUAGCUGGUCUGAGAGGAUGAUCAGCCACACUGGAACUGAGACACGGUCCAGACUCCUACGGGAGGCAGCAGUGGGGAAUAUUGGACAAUGGGCGCAAGCCUGAUCCAGCCAUGCCGCGUGAGUGAUGAAGGCCUUAGGGUUGUAAAGCUCUUUCAUCGGUGAAGAUAAUGACGGUAACCGAAGAAGAAGCCCCGGCUAACUCCGUGCCAGCAGCCGCGGUAAUACGGAGGGGGCUAG